rnacentral:rRNA from 1 species
CGGACGGGUGAGUAAUGUCUGGGAAACUGCCCGAUGGAGGGGGAUAACUACUGGAGACGGUAGCUAAUACCGCAUAACGUCGCAAGACCAAAGAGGGGGACCUUCGGGCCUCUUGCCAUCGGAUGUGCCCAGAUGGGAUUAGCUAGUAGGUGGGGUAACGGCUCACCUAGGCGACGAUCCCUAGCUGGUCUGAGAGGAUGACCAGCCACACUGGAACUGAGACACGGUCCAG